rnacentral:lncRNA from 1 species
AUGACAGUGUAUAAUUUGAACUUGGAUCUAGGUUUCCUAAGCAAUGAAGAGGCACAUGCUGUUGUUGAAGUUCUAGAGAGAGACAAGCGUCUAAAGGAGAUUGAAAAGGAGAGGAUUGGACGUCUGCUUGAGCAGCGGGGGGACAGAAAGUCUGUGUUAGGAUGGCCGGAGAACCUGAGAAACCAGCAGACUAACAAGAGCAGUGUCCACCCAUCCCAGGCACCACACAGCACUAACAUAGAGCAGCAAACUGUGAGAAGUAAACCACUAAAAGGGAAGGAUGACGGUAGCGGAAGACAUACAACUCUGCGAGCCCGUCUCAGCUCCAUGUUCAGCCUCAGGGUCCCUCUGAGGGGCAGCAGAGACCCGGGAGGGAAAAACAACAGCCAUAACAAUGGGGUUAGCAACGUCUCCUCUUCUGGAGGACAAAGCUGCGAAGGCAAGAGUACUGAGGCAAAGCAUGUGGAGGAGCAAAUAGGUGAGCUUGCAGAGGAGCCUAACAAGGAGGUGCACACAGAGGAGGAGCUCACCAAGGAGGUGCACACAGAGGAGGAGCUUACUAAAGAGGUGCACACAGAGGAGGCACACACAGAGGCGGCACACAGAGAGAAGGAGCUCACAGAGAGUCCUGCAGAGGAGGAGCCCACUGAGGAUCACUCAGUGGAGUCUAAUAAGGUGAUUGGACCUGCUGCCUUCCCUGUGGGUGAAACAGGGAAGAGGAGAACAGAUCUACUGGAAACAGGGGGAAAGCAGGAGAGCUCCACAGCCAUAGGUCAGAAUCAGAGAGAGGACCAAGAAAGUUCUGGAGUGACUGGACCAGCGUUAGCACCACAGUCAAUCAGCCACCCACCAGUGAAGCAUGAGGAUCCUACAUCUAAACCUCGGAAAAAAGAACACAUCCAACCAUCAGCUGAAUUGAAAACGUCUAUUCCCUUUAGCCCAAAUCGGAACAUAUGUAGCUGCCCCAUCCGCCCGCACCACUCUAACAUUUCCUCCCCCUUCCUUGCACCUCAAGAGCAGUCCCUGCCCAGGACUGCCACUGUGGAGAGUCUUUCCCCUGAGGUUACGAACAUUCCCUUUCACAGCCCACAUCAACCACCAAAACUUCAGUCUUCUAACUUGAAGAGGAGCCAGCUUCAGAAGGCCUCUGGUCGGGCCGUAACACCAGCUCGCCAUUUGUCCUUGAUCAGGCCAUGGAGUGUGGAGUCACCAGGAACGUUCUCCUUGCUAAGACCAAGCAGCUCCACCACACUGCCCACCUCCCACUAUGUAGAGACCCAGGCUGAAGCCUCCGGCAUCUCCUCCAACUUCGCCUCCGUCCUCCCUUCCAACCUCUCCUCCGACCUCCCCUCCAACCUCCCCUCUGGCCUCCCCUCUUCCUCUGACCACCGAGAGAGUUCAGUCACCUUGAGAGAGCACAUUUCAAGAAGUCAUCUCACCUUGUUCCCUGCCUCUGACCUACAAUGUUUCCCACCCCAGACCCUCAACAGAAUCCUGCCUCAUACUACACUGUCUCAUUACCCUCUUGGAUAUAGGACCAGAUUAAGCUCAUCUUUGAUAUUUAACUCUCUCCCCGUGUCUAAGAACACUUUAGAUACAGCAACUGAGAGUCCAAAAUACCUUAACAGGUCCAAGUCACUUGAUAGACAUUUAACCAAGGCUGUGUCUAUGGAUACUGCUGGUGACAAUCACUCCCCCUACUCACCACCCAGCAACACAAGAUGGAUGUCAUCUUCUGAGAGAAUCAACAUGUUGGCGAAGCAGCAUAACUUAGCAGCCCAGGUUGGUUUAUCAAAAGCCAUCAGCCAACAGAGGAUUCUGCAGACGAAUGCCUCCGUUCAAUCUAAUAACCAAAGAAUGUUCAAGCACCAUGCAUAUUAUUCAGGUGUAUAUGACACAGGUCCCAGUCUGGCAGUUAAGACUCAUUCUCUCUCCAGCCUCAGCUCCAGGGCCUCUCACGGCCUUCAGUCACAUCUUCACAGCCCCCCAGUUUCACCAGAUCAUAUGACUGAUCUCACCAGAGCCUAUGGUGGUACACACAGUGCCCCAGCAGACACAAAACAGUUGAUGAUAGGGGAAAAAAUAAAAGUCACUGGUUCAGAGAUUAUUGAUAGUGAAACACAUAAUAUCAGUGAAUUUAAAUGUCAGACUUCAAAUAAGGAUCUGUUUGCAUCUCAGAUUAGAAAGAAUAGCUUGGGUCUGCCUGCUCAGGAUGCAACUCUUGUCUCUGAUAGGACUGAAAAAGAGCCCACUGGUUACAGAAGCAACCGGAAAGUAGAUCAGGUACUGAAUCGCCUCAGAAUGAUAUUCAGUAGCAAACGUAUUGAGGAAAGGAGUGUGUUGUUUGGUAGAAAGGGGAAAACGGUGCCAUCAACACUUGAGAAUAGACGGACAGGGAAGAGGUCUCCAGAGGUCAAAGAAGUGCUGAAACCCAUUGACCUUCAAUGUAAUGUGGCAGGUCAUCUGAGACAACAAAACAGAGGCUGCAAUGGGCUGACAAUUUCCACAGUUAAAUUAGCAUCCAAGAAUGCACAGUUAGAUAUUCAUGACAAAGAGAGGAACACAAUAUCAACUGAGAAAAAUGGAAACCCAUCGCUGUCAAAAGAAGAAUUAAGUAGAACAAAUCAUCCACAUUCACCCUAUUUUAGUAGUCAAUCCCAUAAGGACUCUGGAAGUUCUAGAACCAGUCAUUUUAGCCUCAACACAAAGAAUGAAGAUGUCUUCUCUAGCCCAAUGGGUAAGGACAGUAGAUCAGAUAGGAGUAGAACUGCCUGUUUUAAACCCACACAGCUCUCAUACUCCAACAACUCUCCAACCACUACUGAUUUUGGCCUGAAACAUGGCCGCUCCAUCUCUGUCACCAACAUUUACUCAAACCGAACAUCAAGAAACAGGCGCAUCUCCACGGGAACUGAUAUGGCCCCCACAAGGUACCUAAGGAGUCUGGAGGAUAUCAGAGGGCCAGGGGACCUUGAUCGCCCACCCAGGACCCUUUCCAGAGCUUUCUCUAGCACUCAGAAAACCUAUAUCAGUCUAAUAAAAACAGACAGCAUCUUACGCCCUAAGAGCCUGACAUUUCCUAUGCCUCUACGGUUCAAUGAGUCAUCGAUUUGGCACACAGAGAUGUUAAACUCACUUAUCAUUGAUCAGAAGUUGCAAGUCAUUCAAGGCCCCAUGGAACUACUGCCCAUCACUAGCUCCAGUUUGUCAGACUUUGAGGAGUAUGACUCAGAUACAACUACAGAUGGAGAAUACUACUUGAGCAGUGAUGAUUGGGAGAAAGAGUCAAUACUCUAGCAAAGGGCGACCGUUUUGAGUAACAUUGUGCAGAUAUUUAACGUUUUUGUGAAAAUCAUUUCUUAUUGGCCUAUGUAUUUAUAGUUGAAAAACAUUAAUAAAACAAAUAAUUAAUCUGUACAUUUAUUGAAUCCAUGUUGAUGAUAUGGUGAUGUAUGGUAGUGAGAGGAAGCU